UUUGUAGAGAAGACACUGAGAAAGGAGGUAACAUUUGAAAUGCAAAUAAAGAAAAUACCCCUGCACAAAGAUGACAAGCAAAUUCGUGAAGUGUUCCAGAUUUUU
ensembl:snRNA Gm25522 predicted gene, 25522